UUUAUUUGUGUUUCUAAUUUAUACUUUAAGUUUAUUUGUGUUUCUAAUUUAUACUUUAAGUUUAUUUGUGUUUCUAAUUUAUACUUUAAGUUUAUUUGUAAAAAGUUAAAAGAGAGUGGGUCUCUGUGGCCUUCACUGAGGUUCACUCUGGCAUCCUUUAGCAUUUUUCGUUUUUAAUUUCAUAAUUGUAGGUCAUUAGCAUGCAUAUCGAGUUUGCCCUUACAUGGUGGGAGUUCAAACACCCAAAGACCCACUGUUUGCACAAAACUGUUCUCGCUGGUUUGGAAUAGGCUGCCAUGCUUUUUUAAUGUUAUUGCAGCAUGUAUGUUUAUUACAGAAUUCCGAUAAAAUUUGCUUAUGUUCUGCUAUUAUGUUUGAUCUAAUCUUAAUCACAGUGAGCUCUUCAUUAGCUCAAUAUGCGGUUUGCCAACUGGAAACAGCCUUUCCCCCAUAUUCUGUGUAUUGGUGAUGGGAGUAAUAACAUUUUGGGGGAGCUUUUUAAAUCUCACAGAAGAGGAAAGUGGCCUGCUCUGGCAGCUGUGUGCAGGAUAGAGUGUGUUUCAUUUGUUCCGGUGCCAAGAAUGUGUGCCGUACUAUGGUAGUUCCCUCAGGAUUUGUAUGUGCUCUGGGCUCAUGAAGAUAUUGCACCAUGAGCUGCAGCAGUUGUGCUCUUUCUCGAUGACCUAAAAAGGGAUUCUUUCUGAGGAAUGAAAGGCUCCCAUCGUUGACUGUGGAUGUGGAAAACCUUUCUUGCUUAGAACAUUUGUAUCUGUAAUACAUUUGAAAAUCAGAGUUCAUGUUACCUGUUUUAAUCACAUGACUACAUGUCCCAGUACACAAAAGGGCGCUGGCUGGCAUUCUUCUUAAUAUAUUUAGUAAAGAUCAUAAGGAAUCCCUUAAGAGUUUAAAUGUCCAUGGAACAGGCAUACAGGCUCUAGUCAAGAAUGAUUGAGAGUGAAGGAAAGCUGUGUGGCACCUGGCAUUCCUCUCUGUUCAUGGAGCUUCUUUGAGACUUGAAGACUGAUUUUACCAUCUAGACCUCUCUAGCUAAUACCUAUUCUUCAACCACCUUGGUUACUCUGACAUAGGAAUUUACUUCUUUUCCUUGAAUGGAAAACACUUUCAAAAAUAAUAACAAGCAUUAUCAUAAACUAAUAUAUGUGAGAGUACUUAGUUGAAACAGAAAGGAGUUUUAGUAGACAGUAUUAUACUAUCUUUAAAAAUCAAGGAGAACUUAAAAUAUUUACAAACUGCAGUGCAAUCUACUGUUUGUGAAUGUCAAUGUAUUAUCAGGAAACGUCUCUGUACAAUCACAGAGUUGUAUUUCCUCACAAACUUCUUUACUAAGAGUGAAAUUUUUUUUGUACCUCUCAGUUUCAGUUAGGGACAUAUUUUGUACAAUAUUUAUGUGAUUGUGCCUAUGCAUGAUGAAUGAAUGAAUUUCAGUCACACAUUGCCUAAGUCAUAACUUGGUGAUGCUUGGGAAAGAAUCAACCGUUAAAACUUCAUGAAGUUCUAAUGUUUGUGUUCCAAAACACAUCACCUUAUUAGGAUGUACGGAGCUAUGUAUGUGUGCUCCCUGGAGUGGGGAUUUCCUGGUUACGAGAUCUCCAUUUUUAGCAUUUGGCAUCCUCAUGAUACUUUUAUAAAUAUGACAGUAACAGGAGAGCAACAAUACGAUUUUACCGAUGGAAUAACAGAUUUCCCUGCAUUCUCUGAAAGAGUGCAAAUAUCGGGUCCUUGUGACUUCAACUGACUCUUCCAAAUUGUAUGAAUGUAGCAAUGUAUUAGAUAAGCCCAGUUUCAGAAUGAUAAAGAAAAAAUGUUAGACCAAA